GUUUAGACCAACUUGCAUUUGUUUUGUUAAGCAUUUGUUUAAUAUUGUGAAAUAUGUAUUAUGGUUGUAUGUACAUCAUAUGUUCACCUCAUUACAAAGCUAACUCCAGAAUAACGACCAGCAGAGCCCACAGUCUCUCAGAGGAUGACCAGGUCUUGUAGCUGGGUUAGAAAAGGAUUCCUCCAACUAAAUUCACUCAAAAUGUAUAGGAAUAUAACUUUAUCAAAAUUAGAUUUCUGGUGUUAUUAUGGAUAACAACCAAAGCAAAAUAUGUUGUACGUAAAUUACGUGAAACAUCUCCAAAUUUGGACAAUCAUGAUAUAUAAAGAAAAGGCAUUAAACACUUAUAGUGCAG